GUGCCCAGCAAAAGGACGGUCCGUUGACGUUUCCUUCAGUGAAAUAUCAGCUCAGUCCGUGCUGUGAAUACCACGGAAUCAACAGUGUUUGCCUUGAGUUGCUGAGAGUUUUGAUGGUCCAGGUGAGGAGCAGGGUUCAUCACCUUGGGUCAGCUUGAUCAGCUCCUUCAGUAGACUCUUCUGAUCAUCCUCAUCUUCAUCAGGGGUUGCUGAAAGCACGACGGGUUCAUCCCAGUUAAUCAGUAUCACAGAAUCACAGAAUGGCCAGGAUUGAAAAGGACCACAGUGCUCAUCAGUUCAAACCCCCUGCUAUGUGCAGGGUCGCCAACCAGCAGACCGGGCUGCCCAGCGCCACAUCCAGCCUGGUCUGAAUGCCUCCAGGGAUGGGGCAUCCACAGCCUCCUUGGGCAACCUGUUCAGUGCAUCACCACCCUCUGGAUGAAAAAGCUCCUAAUAUCCAAUCGAAACCUCACCUAACACUGUCCACCAUCAUAAACACCUGUUCCCUUUCCUGUUUAUACGCCCCCUUCAAGUACUGAAAGGCCACAAUGUACUCUCUCGGGAGCCUUCCCUUCUCAUACUAAACAAGCCCAGUUCCUACUACUUUUCCUCAUAGGAGAGGUGCUCCAGCCCUGUGAUCAUUAGUGGCCCUCCUCUGGGCUCUGUAGAGACAGUUCCUCCAGCACACUGCCCUGCUGCUUCUCCAUUUUAGCCAGUCUUUCUAGAUAUUUUUAUAUCCAGGCCAUUGUCGUUGCUCUGCCCUGUUAGAGAGCUCUCUCAGAUUGUGUGCCAUCAAAGCAGAACAACUUAAUUCUGUUUCUCAGUCGUGACAGGACUGACAGUGCACCCCAAAGCACCUCCUGUUUGUCCUUUGGCGCCGUCUGUCCUUUGUCUUACACUGCAGACUCCCACGGCUUCACAGUGAUGAGGGCUAUCAAGGAGUCUGUUAAGCUCUUUGGCGACUCCUCCACAGUUACAUCUUCCAUCUCCCCCUUCUUUCUUAAUAAAAAAGCCACGAUUCGUUGCAUCCUGUAUCCUUUUUUGUGUACACUGCAACAAGCAUGGAACAGUAAUUAAAGCACAGAGAAAGGCAAUGAGAGAAACUGACCCUAUUAGAUGCAAAUUCUGUAUGCAUUCAGCAAAACCCCCAAAGAGAUCCCCAAAUACAUUCACAGGUUUCUUUUUUUAGCUUUCCAUCCUCCCUUAGAUCUUUCCCCUAUUACCACAGAAUAAACUUACAGCAGCAAUUAUAUUAAUA
ensembl:lncRNA